UACGGAGGAUGCGAGCGUUAUCCGGAUUUAUUGGGCGUAAAGAGCUUGUAGGCGGUUUGUCGCGUCUGCUGUGAAAAUCCGGGGCUCAACCCCGGACUUGCAGUGGGUACGGGCAGACUAGAGUGUGGUAGGGGAGACUGGAAUUCCUGGUGUAGCGGUGAAAUGCGCAGAUAUCAGGAGGAACACCGAUGGCGAAGGCAGGUCUCUGGGCCACUACUGACGCUGAGAAGCGAAAGCAUGGGGAGCGAACAGGAUUAGAUA
rnacentral:rRNA from 1 species